CGUGAGUAACCUGCCCUCGGCACCGGGAUAGCCCGGGGAAACCCGGAUUAAUACCGGACGGCCUUUCGGAUCUUCGGAUCUGUCAGAAAAGGAGGCUUCGGCUUCUGGCCGAGGAGGGGCUCGCGGCGGAUUAGCUUGUUGGUGGGGUAACGGCCCACCAAGGCGACGAUCCGUAGCUGGUCUGAGAGGACGAUCAGCCACACUGGGACUGAGACACGGCCCAGACUUCUACGGAAGGCAGCAGUGGGGAAUCUUGCGCAAUGGGCGAAAGCCUGACGCAGCGACGCCGCGUGGGGGAAGAAGGCCUUCGGGUUGUAAACCCCUUUCAGGAGGGACGAAGCCACUCGGGUUAAUACCCCAGAGGGUGACGGUACCUCCAGAAGAAGCCCCGGCUAACUACGUGCCAGCAGCCGCCGCAUAAAAUAGGAGGGCGAGCGUUGUCCGGAUUUAUUGGGCGUAAAGCGCGUGUAGGCGGCUUGGCAAGUCCGCUGUGAAAACUCGAGGCUCAACCUCGAGACGUCGGUGGAAACUGCCUGGCUAGAGUCCGGAAGAGGAGAGUGAAUUCCUGGUGUAGCGUGAAAUGCGCAGAUAUCAGAGAACACCUAUGC
rnacentral:rRNA from 1 species